UCCGGAAGAAAAUUUGGCUGCACGGAAUUGGUGAACCCGAAAGACCACAGCAAGCCAGUUCAAGAGGUACUCGCUGAGAUGACAAACGGCGGAGUCGACCGUAGUGUUGAAUGCACCGGCAAUAUCAGUGCUAUGAUACAAGCAUUUGAAUGUGAUCAUAUGGGCUGGGGUGUCGCUGUGCUGGUCGAUGUGCCACACAAGGACGCCGAAUUCAAGACCCACCCAAUGAACUUCCUGAACGAGAGGACUCUAAAGGGGGCCUUCUUCGGCAACUUCAAGCCGUGCACUGAUCUGCCCAAUUUUGUAGAGAUGUACGUGAAGAAGGAACUGGAGGUGGAAAACUUCAUCACGCACAGCGUACCGUUCUCGGAGAUCAACAAGGCCUUUGACCUCGUGGCCAAGGGCAAGGGCAUUCGCUGCAUCAUCCGCAUGGAGAACUAG
rnacentral:rRNA from 1 species